CACAAGAUCUAGAUAGGAGAGGAAAAUUGAUCAGUAAUGACAACUGUUAUGUACAGGAGUGUUAAGAAUACCACCUGGACCACCAGAGGAUGGGCUGCGUCCUUUAAUUCUGUUGCAAAUUUCUGAUAUGUAAGAAUGCUUUUCUGCAGGACAAGAGAAGGGGCAAUUUCAUUUAUUUGUUUUGUUUAACAGAACUCUUGUUUCUGACACAAUCUUUACACUUGUUUCUCUAGUUAAAUCUUUUUUUUCUUUUUUUUUUUUUUCUUCUCUCUCUCUUUUCUUUCCCUGGUGUUUGCAUGAACUCGGUGAACCCUGAUCACGUGUGGCAGUGUUUAUAUUUGCACAGGCUGUUCUGUGUGUCUCUGUUUGUGUUGCCACCACAUCUACAUGGUUUGGCGGCAGCCCCACGGCUGUGUUUCAGCUGCAUAUAAAUCAGCUUCCCCCCACCCCCCUGUGUUUCCAUCUGUCUGUCUUCCCUGAUUGCUCUGAAAUGUUACAGGGCAUGGAGAUUAGCCCAUGGCUGAACCCUUCAGACAGAAAUGGUACAAAACCAAACCUGAGUUUCUCCUCCUCAAAUCUAACUCAUCAAUCUAUGGAGGUGUGGAGUGUUAAUGUUUUUGCAGUGACAAACCUCAAAGCAGGGACUAACCUCUGCUUCUGUAGUUUUCAGGUCUGUUUCUCCCAAAACAUUUGUACAGAAGCUCUAAGGUCACCUCUGUGUUGUGGAGCUAAUCCUUCCUUAGCUUUUCAUUACAUGAAGAUCUCCCUUUACUCACACAAAUUUAAUUUCUGCUCCAUCAUUAAUUAUUACCUCCAAUUUGAUUGCUUCACAUCUCAUUAGUUCAUUUCUCCCUCUGGAGAAGAGGAAUGACUGGAAGCAUGGGGAAUUGGAGGCACGUAAUCAGAGAAUGGGAUGUUAGGCAGAAAUCACAGACCUUGAUACUCUCCUUGCACAGAGAUGUUUCUCUAGGAGUCUCCUCCCAGACUGAGUUCAUAAUGGGGUUAAUCACAUAUGAGGCUGAUUGAAUUGCUGUGAGCCCUAGAGAUAAACUUCUAGCUCAGAGUGUCUGUGUGAUUUACUCUUGGCCAUGUCUCUUCGCUUGCAGAAUAGAUGCCCCAGGGGAACAGAAGAUUGAGCAUGCUGCCCUUUGGCCAUUGGCACUAAUUUGCCAACUUAGUAGAGAUGACAAAAGAUGAAGUGGGGAGUCCACGCCCAUCUCAGCAGGAAAUGUUGGGUGAAAUGUUCUGGUCAUCCAAAGAAAUGGACCAUGCAGCAUGGGAUGGCAGCCCCUUCAUGAUCCCCAAGGCUUUGGUGCUGGGAUCAGUACAAGGAAGGAUGCCAGAGAAAAAAUAUGAGAUUACCUCUCAGCAAAGCCCUUUGGCCUGAAUCACUGACAUCUUUGAUUUGAACAGUAAUUUAAAACACGCAUGAUGAGAAGUCAAGGAAGGGAUCCAGGAAGGCCUGGGGUCCAGCCAAGCUGGUGUGUCUGCCAAUUUGCUGUUCUGAAGGUCAGGUUCAGGUUGGAAACCUAUUGCUCAGAGGGAGCAGAUGGAAGAAGAGGUGUCUUUGACUUUGAAUCAGAUUCUGUAUGAUCAUGGCUCAGUGAUCAUACAUCCUCCAGGGCCUGAAACCUAACGAGAGAAUGAAGGAGGAAGCACUGUCUCUCUCAGAUCAAAGUAAAGAGAAAAGUUGAGAUAUAAAGGAGACAAAAUGAGCUGCAGGGUAUGCGAAAAUCAGAGCUCCCAUACGGUUUGCUGAAGACUGCCAAAAUAGGGUUCUCCACAGCCAUCCCAUACCUACGCAAUACAGUGAUGGGAGCGUUUUUAGAUAAGAUCAGACCCAGAGAGAACAUGCCUGGCUCUGUUUUUUCCAGCAGAACAAUAUGGAAACCCACUGCUGGGAAACCGUUUUUCCAAGCCAGAAAAGAGGCAAGGAAUUGUUCUGUGCAACCACUCAGGAGCCUCUGCUCCCACGCAUUCUCCUGCUUGCUGACACCCUGCCAGGACCGCAAAGGAGGAAUUGAUUUACAUGCAGUAAGUCAACUAAAUAAAUAGCUAAAUAAAGACCUUCCUACCUUGCUCAGCUAAAGAAAGGGAGGGACCAAAAUCAAAUUCAGGGGGAAGUCCUCUGCAGGUGUGCAGCUCCUGCCCAGAACUGGGUACUGGGUGCUGACAGUGAUAUUUAUUCCACGGGAGGGAAUUUUGGACUGCUCUUUGUAAGGCUUGUCACUCACUGUCUUCUAUUCUUGCUACUGAACUCUGUGUUGUGUGAGACCCCUGAGCUCAGACAGCAUUCGAUGGCUUCAGCAAGUGUGUCCCAAUUGUAUUAGUUCUUAUUUUGGUGACUUAGUUCCUAAAAAGUGCAGAUUCACUUCAAGAAGAUACUCCUUUGGCCCGAAGCACGGGCUCUCCUGUUGGGGCCAGUGUCAAAUUGCUUAGAGAAACAGCAUACAUAAGAGGGUUAUAGCAAUAUCUUUUCUCACUCCGGAUCCCAUUCCCCCCACUUCCUAUUAGUCUGCUCCUUCCUGUGAAGUGUGCCCAGGAGAUCACUGUGUUUAAUAGAUGCUGUCCUCUAUGACUACCUCCCUUUCCUACUUCUGGCCUCUUCAGCAUGCAUUGACAAAGGCUCUUCUCAUGAGAAGUUUAUGAGAAGUGUGGGUAAUAUGAAGAAAUACCACUGCACUUUGAAGCUUGCUCCUUUGAGCCAGACUGACCGUCCCUGUUUGGGAGCAGGUUCCCUACAACCAUGCACCAUUCCUGCACACUUCAUCAUGCCCUCAACUGCCCACACCGCUGCAGAAAUGCAGGGAAUAGGUUUAUAGACCAUGAUGUGUUCUUGUGAAUUAUCUCCCAAUAAAACAGAGAUCUGGUGAUUGAGAUAGCAAUGCUGGGAAUUAAAGAGUGAGCUCAGUCCCUGGAACUGCCCUGCUCCCCUAACAUUUUGGGGUUUCAUGGGGGCAUUCACCUCCCACUCUAUUUAAAUACAAAUGACCUUUUCUUCUGCGUGCCCCUACUACCAGAACUAGCU